rnacentral:rRNA from 1 species
CGAGCGGCAGCACGGGUACUUGUACCUGGUGGCGAGCGGCGGACGGGUGAGUAAUGCCUAGGAAUCUGCCUGGUAGUGGGGGAUAACGCUCGGAAACGGACGCUAAUACCGCAUACGUCCUACGGGAGAAAGCAGGGGACCUUCGGGCCUUGCGCUAUCAGAUGAGCCUAGGUCGGAUUAGCUAGUUGGUGAGGUAAAGGCUCUCCAAGGCGACGAUCCGUAACUGGUCUGAGAGGAUGAUCAGUCACACUGGAACUGAGACACGGUCCAGACUCCUACGGGAGGCAGCAGUGGGGAAUAUUGGACAAUGGGCGAAAGCCUGAUCCAGCCAUGCCGCGUGUGUGAAGAAGGUCUUCGGAUUGUAAAGCACUUUAAGUUGGGAGGAAGGGCAUUUGCCUAAUACGUAAGUGUUUUGACGUUACCGACAGAAUAAGCACCGGCUAACUCUGUGCCAGCAGCCGCG